GAUGAAGAACGUAGCGAAAUGCGAUAAGUAGUGUGAAUUGCAGAAUUCAGUGAAUCAUCGAAUCUUUGAACGCACAUUGCGCCCCUUGGUAUCCCGAGGGGCAUGCCUGUUCGAGCGUCAUUUCACCACUCAAGCCUGGCUUGGUGUUGGGCGACGUCCCCUUUGGGGACGCGCCUCGAAACGCUCGGCGGCGUGGCACCGGCUUUAAGCGUAGCAGAAUCUUUCGCUUUGGAAGUCGGGGCCCCGUCUGCCGGAAGACCUACUCGCAAGGUUGACCUCGGAUCAGGCAGGGAUACCCGCUGAACUUAAGCAUAUCCAAUAAGCGGAGGA
rnacentral:misc_RNA from 1 species